GACGAACGCUGGCGGCGUGCUUAACACAUGCAAGUGGAGCGACGAACCGGGGCUUGCCCCGGGGCAGAGCCGCGAACGGGUGAGUAACACGUGGGUAACCUGCCUCAAUGAUUGGGACAACCCGGGGAAACUCGGGCUAAUACCAAAUGUGUUCACUCCUUCUAAGGGGAGUGAGGAAAGGAAGCUUCGGCCUCCGCAUUGAGAUGGGCCCGCGGCCCAUUAGCUUGUUGGUGAGGUAACGGCUCACCAAGGCUUCGAUGGGUAGCUGGUCUGAGAGGACGAUCAGCCACACUGGGACUGAGACACGGCCCAGACUCCUACGGGAGGCAGCAGUGGGAAUCUUGCACAAUGCGCGAAAGCGUGAUGCAGCAACGCCGCGUGGGGGAAGACGGCCUGGUGUAACCCUUUCAGUUGGACGAGACUCGUCGUGAAUAGCGGUUCGGAGUGACGGUACCG
rnacentral:rRNA from 1 species